GCCAGUUUGGCUCAGUGGCUAGAGUGUCAGCCUGCAGACUGAAGAGUCACAGGUUCGAUUCCAGUCAAGGGCA
rnacentral:tRNA from 1 species